ensembl:snRNA U6 U6 spliceosomal RNA
GUGCUCACUUUGGCAGCACAUAAACUAAAGUUGGAACUGUACAGAGAAAAUCAGCAUGGCCCCUGCACAAGGAUGACAUGCAAAUUCAUGAAGCAUUCCGUAUUUUU